GAACAGUCUUAAAGGGUUUUUAAGACAUUUCACCUAGACACGUGGGAGGUUCUUUAGCCCUCCACAUUUUAUCAAUCCCAUUUUCUUUUGCUACAUACAGGCACAACAGGGAGAUAGAGAGAGGAGUGAGAGAGACGAGGACGAGAGAACGGAGCGACCGUGAUGGAAGAACCAGCUCCAAACGCCGUCGAGGAAGCGGUAACUUUUGUUUCGAUGUCACCAAACGCCGCUAACUGAACCAGACGUCUGAGAUGACGGCGGCGAGUUCUAGAGUCCUGAUCUGUCAAUUGGUCGCCGGUUGUAACUUCUCCAUGGAAUUUGGCUGGUUAACGGGGAUAAUCCGGUGGAUCUGGCGACUGAGUUGGGUUCUGGUGUUUUUUAGUGCUCAAGGUUGUUAGAUUGGGUCAUCAGACUACAGGAUAGGGAAAUCUUCCGGCGGUGAACACAUGCUAUUUGAAAUGCAAGUCAAUGAUGGGUGCGACUAAAUCAAAGGUACCUUGGUGCAAGAGAGGUAAACUCAUAACUCAUAUUGCUUUAGGGCUCAUGUAUGUCUUUAAAUAUACAUUAUCUGGAUUCAUGGAACUUCAUGUUGAAUUUAAGAAUAUUAGCAAGUAUAUCUAAACCUUAAUUUGUGUUUUUUGAUGUUUACUGAAACCCUAAAUUGUAUCAUCUUGAUUAUACCUGGUGUGGUUUGAUUUAAACUUUCCAAAUUUUGAGAAGAAUUGGAGGCACUAAGACUGUGGGGUAUGGGGCUUGGGUUGGGGGAAAACGCCCAAGCCACCACCCCUUGGGGCUUGGGUUGGGGCGUGGCCCUUGGGGCUUGGGUUUGAAGCCGGGCGUGGGGCGGGCUUGGGUUUGAUGUGGCGGCCUCCUAUUCGCCUUGGGUUUUAAAUUUUAUAUAUAUAUAUAUACAUAUAUAUAUAUAUAUAUAUAUAUAUAUAUUAAUAACCUGCCAACCCACGCGGUGCACCCACGCCCCGCCAUACCCCACGGACACGUCACUAGGCGGUGGGAGGGCUCGAACUCCACGUGUCAACUCAUGCCCCCAACCUAAGCCCCGCCAUACCCCACAGACACGUCACUAUUUGCUAUGUUUUAACUCAAUAUCAUUUGUUGUGUGUUGUUUCAAUUUCUCUGCAGUAACAAAGCAUGUGAUUUACGAACAGCUUGCUGAAGUUCUGAUCAGAACCGAACAAGAGAACAAAACUUUUAUGAGUUGAUUUUGGUGUCAACCCCGGACAAAAUGGUAGGUAUAAUUUUGGUUCUCUUGAUCUUUUGUGUUCCGGUUAUUAGACCUUAUGAGUUGAUUUUGGUGUCAACCCCGGACAAAAUGGUAGGUGUAAUUUUGGUUCUCUUGAUCUUUUGUGUUCCGUCUAUUAGACCACUAUAAGUAAAAAGCGAAAGGGAAAGCCAAUGUCUCUAAUAUUCCCUCACUUUUUACCAUUUCAUACCUACUAAAAUCCAAUCAGUAUAUUCCCACAAAUUUUUAUCUGUUCUAAUAUUCCUACAGUGUUUGGGUAAAUUUGUUGGUUGGUACUUGGUAUUUGUUUGACAAGAAAUUUCCAUGCUCAUUGACUUUGUAAAAAAGUCAAAUAGAUUGUUGUCACUGGUAUCAAUUUUGUAUUUGAAAUCAACCAUGACAGAAUUGUUAAAGUGUUAAUUAUUUAUUAGUACAACUUUAAUGGAUGUUUUGGUAUUUGUAUUCGUUAAGUUUAUAUUUGUAUGCUCUUAUUUAUAUUUACUUUAAUGUUUCUCUAAACAUAAUAGCUAAGGUCUUUUAAUCCUCACUAAACAGAAAGAAAAUAAAUAAUUGGAUCAUGUAGUAAAGAAAACGCUGGCUUCAAUCUGGGAAAUUUCGGACUUUCACGUUUUUGCGACAAAGGGUGCAGAAUACAGUCAUAGAAAGAUAUGGUUUCAUAUGCUAAAAUCAAUAUAUGCUAAUUUCUAUGGUGUCGAUUAAGCAUCGUGCAAAACGAAGUUAAAAAGAUUACUUAAAUGGCUGAUAUCAUAAUAACUUGGAGAUGAAAUGUGAGGACUUUUAUAGGAUUAUACAGCAGAUAGUUGAUGAUCCCCUAAGUCCCUAACUUGUAUUUUAACAGAUGUUUUUUAUGUGCAGGUCAAAUGGGAUGGGUUACAAUGUUACAUUGACUCAAUAAAAAAAAAAAAAAAACAAGCAAACGAGAAUCCCUUUUGGGAAUCCAGCACUUUUGACACCAUAUCGAAGGUUGUGUACAUUCUUUUUGGGAUAGAGUGUCUUCUUACUGCAUUUAAUUUUGUUAUAGUGGAAUAUACAUACAACUUAAUCGAAUUGAUUUCUUUCGAACAAUUGUUUUCGAUCGAUAUAAAUAUCAUGUGUUGAUA